rnacentral:sRNA from 1 species
UAAAGAAAUAAUCUCGAGGGCCUUCGGAAAGGAGAGAGGGUUGUAGCUGGCUUAAGCAUGUGCACGCCCUCUUUCUCGACCUAGGUCCUUAUGGGCGCGGGGCGACCCGCGUCUUCAUAAGCCCCUUCGUGUAGAAAGUCUAUGAAUGUUUUUACCAUCAUCGACUCGCGACUUCUAGGAGACGCGAUUCUUUGAGACAAAAGUUUAUUACAACUUUCAGCAAUGGAUCUCUUGGCUCUCGCAUCGAUGAAGAACGCAGCGAAUCGCGAUAUGUAAUGUGAAUUGCAGAUCUACAGUGAAUCAUCGAAUCUUUGAACGCACCUUGCGCUUAUCGGUGUUCCGAUGAGCAUGCCUGUUUGAGCGUCAUUAAAUUCUCAACCCCUCUCGAUUUGCUUCGAGAGGGAGCUUGGAUCGUGGAGGCUGCCGGAGACCUGUUUUUCAGGACUCGGGCUCCUCUGAAAUGUAUUGGCUUGCGGUCGACUUUCGACCGUGCAUGACAAGGCCUUUGGCGUGAUAAUGAUCGCCGCUCGCCGAAGUGCACGAACGAAUGGUCUCGUGCCUCUAAUCAGUCGACGCCUUUUCGAAGGCGUCUUCCUUAUCGACGUUUGACCUC